GGGUUGUGAGGUUAAGCGACUAAGCGUACACGGUGGAUGCCCUGGCAGUCAGAGGCGAUGAAGGACGUGCUAAUCUGCGAUAAGCGUCGGUGAGGUGAUAUGAACCGUUAUAACCGGCGAUUUCCGAAUGGGGAAACCCAGUGUGUUUCGACACACUAUCAUUAACUGAAUCCAUAGGUUAAUGAGGCGAACCGGGGGAACUGAAACAUCUAAGUACCCCGAGGAAAAGAAAUCAACCGAGAUUCCCCCAGUAGCGGCGAGCGAACGGGGAGGAGCCCAGAGCCUGAAUCAGUGUGUGUGUUAGUGGAAGCGUCUGGAAAGGCGCGCGAUACAGGGUGACAGCCCCGUACACAAAAAUGCACAUAUUGUGAGCUCGAUGAGUAGGGCGGGACACGUGGUAUCCUGUCUGAAUAUGGGGGGACCAUCCUCCAAGGCUAAAUACUCCUGACUGACCGAUAGUGAACCAGUACCGUGAGGGAAAGGCGAAAAGAACCCCGGCGAGGGGAGUGAAAAAGAACCUGAAACCGUGUACGUACAAGCAGUGGGAGCCUCUUAAUGGGGUGACUGCGUACCUUUUGUAUAAUGGGUCAGCGACUUAUAUUCUGUAGCAAGGUUAACCGAAUAGGGGAGCCGAAGGGAAACCGAGUCUUAACUGGGCGUUAAGUUGCAGGGUAUAGACCCGAAACCCGGUGAUCUAGCCAUGGGCAGGUUGAAGGUUGGGUAACACUAACUGGAGGACCGAACCGACUAAUGUUGAAAAAUUAGCGGAUGACUUGUGGCUGGGGGUGAAAGGCCAAUCAAACCGGGAGAUAGCUGGUUCUCCCCGAAAGCUAUUUAGGUAGCGCCUCGUGAAUUCAUCUCCGGGGGUAGAGCACUGUUUCGGCAAGGGGGUCAUCCCGACUUACCAACCCGAUGCAAACUGCGAAUACCGGAGAAUGUUAUCACGGGAGACACACGGCGGGUGCUAACGUCCGUCGUGAAGAGGGAAACAACCCAGACCGCCAGCUAAGGUCCCAAAGUCAUGGUUAAGUGGGAAACGAUGUGGGAAGGCCCAGACAGCCAGGAUGUUGGCUUAGAAGCAGCCAUCAUUUAAAGAAAGCGUAAUAGCUCACUGGUCGAGUCGGCCUGCGCGGAAGAUGUAACGGGGCUAAACCAUGCACCGAAGCUGCGGCAGCGACACUAUGUGUUGUUGGGUAGGGGAGCGUUCUGUAAGCCUGUGAAGGUGGCCUGUGAGGGUUGCUGGAGGUAUCAGAAGUGCGAAUGCUGACAUAAGUAACGAUAAAGCGGGUGAAAAGCCCGCUCGCCGGAAGACCAAGGGUUCCUGUCCAACGUUAAUCGGGGCAGGGUGAGUCGACCCCUAAGGCGAGGCCGAAAGGCGUAGUCGAUGGGAAACAGGUUAAUAUUCCUGUACUUGGUGUUACUGCGAAGGGGGGACGGAGAAGGCUAUGUUGGCCGGGCGACGGUUGUCCCGGUUUAAGCGUGUAGGCUGGUUUUCCAGGCAAAUCCGGAAAACCAAGGCUGAGGCGUGAUGACGAGGCACUACGGUGCUGAAGUGACAAAUGCCCUGCUUCCAGGAAAAGCCUCUAAGCAUCAGGUAACAUCAAAUCGUACCCCAAACCGACACAGGUGGUCAGGUAGAGAAUACCAAGGCGCUUGAGAGAACUCGGGUGAAGGAACUAGGCAAAAUGGUGCCGUAACUUCGGGAGAAGGCACGCUGAUAUGUAGGUGAAGCGACUUGCUCGUGGAGCUGAAAUCAGUCGAAGAUACCAGCUGGCUGCAACUGUUUAUUAAAAACACAGCACUGUGCAAACACGAAAGUGGACGUAUACGGUGUGACGCCUGCCCGGUGCCGGAAGGUUAAUUGAUGGGGUUAGCGGUAACGCGAAGCUCUUGAUCGAAGCCCCGGUAAACGGCGGCCGUAACUAUAACGGUCCUAAGGUAGCGAAAUUCCUUGUCGGGUAAGUUCCGACCUGCACGAAUGGCGUAAUGAUGGCCAGGCUGUCUCCACCCGAGACUCAGUGAAAUUGAACUCGCUGUGAAGAUGCAGUGUACCCGCGGCAAGACGGAAAGACCCCGUGAACCUUUACUAUAGCUUGACACUGAACAUUGAGCCUUGAUGUGUAGGAUAGGUGGGAGGCUUUGAAGUGUGGACGCCAGUCUGCAUGGAGCCGACCUUGAAAUACCACCCUUUAAUGUUUGAUGUUCUAACGUUGGCCCGUAAUCCGGGUUGCGGACAGUGUCUGGUGGGUAGUUUGACUGGGGCGGUCUCCUCCUAAAGAGUAACGGAGGAGCACGAAGGUUGGCUAAUCCUGGUCGGACAUCAGGAGGUUAGUGCAAUGGCAUAAGCCAGCUUGACUGCGAGCGUGACGGCGCGAGCAGGUGCGAAAGCAGGUCAUAGUGAUCCGGUGGUUCUGAAUGGAAGGGCCAUCGCUCAACGGAUAAAAGGUACUCCGGGGAUAACAGGCUGAUACCGCCCAAGAGUUCAUAUCGACGGCGGUGUUUGGCACCUCGAUGUCGGCUCAUCACAUCCUGGGGCUGAAGUAGGUCCCAAGGGUAUGGCUGUUCGCCAUUUAAAGUGGUACGCGAGCUGGGUUUAGAACGUCGUGAGACAGUUCGGUCCCUAUCUGCCGUGGGCGCUGGAGAACUGAGGGGGGCUGCUCCUAGUACGAGAGGACCGGAGUGGACGCAUCACUGGUGUUCGGGUUGUCAUGCCAAUGGCACUGCCCGGUAGCUAAAUGCGGAAGAGAUAAGUGCUGAAAGCAUCUAAGCACGAAACUUGCCCCGAGAUGAGUUCUCCCUGAGACUUAGAGUCUCCUGAAGGAACGUUGAAGACGACGACGUUGAUAGGCCGGGUGUGUAAGCGCAGCGAUGCGUUGAGCUAACCGGUACUAAUGAACCGUGAGGCUUAACCUUACAACGCCGAAG
rnacentral:rRNA from 1 species